rnacentral:Y_RNA from 1 species
GGCUAGUCCGAAGGUUGUGAGUUAUCUCAAUUGAUUGUUCACAGACAAUUACAGAUCGAACUCCUGUUUUACUCUUUCCCCACUUCUCACUACUGUACUUGACUAGUCUUUA